ACCUGAUGAAGCCCAGUUCAUAAAUAAUACAUUGCAAUAAAAGAAUUAGCAAUAACUUAAAUUCCUCAGAUUAAUGUUGCUCUCUCUGAUAUGCACGACUAGUACUGAGGAAAAUUAGCUAACAGAUACUAUCUCACAAGAACACUUGCUAAAACUUCCAUUAGUUCAAACCAAUUUCUUCUUUGAAAUAUCAUAAUAGCUAAUCCAAACAAUAACUGACAAAACACCCUCUAGAAGAAGAUCAUUGAACAAUCCAAUAUAUAUAUUAUGAUAAAGAAAUGUAAAAGGACAAUGGCUUAUGAAUUCGUUUGGUCAAAAAAAAAGGCAAAAAGAAUUGGCUCUAAAGUAUAAGCAUUACACCAGCAUAGCUAGUUUUGGCAACAAAAUGGAAAGCAAAAACCUGCCACUGGAUAUUAAAUGAAGCCCUCAUUAAUAAGAGGUUCAAGUUUCCUUCUUUAUCAUUUACCAGCAAUAUCCUCCAUCUAAUCAAGAUUAACACUGCAUUGCUGUCCCACUAUCCUUUUCACUCCCAAUCUUCAUCACUCAGUUGAUCAUCAGUCUCUUCUUUUGGUGGUCUUACCACUAAUAACACUGUCGCUAAACUCUCCCCAACACCCCUUUUCUUCAACUCUGAACCCCUCUCCACCUUCAAUGCACCACUACGACCAUCACCAUUGUCGUCAACAGCCAUCAAGUAAAAUCCAUCAUCCACAUUCACCUCCUUCCUUCCCCUAUCAGCCACCACCAAAAUAGCCUCUUCCUUAUACCAUCUAUUCACCUUCCAAGGUAAAGCCCUUGCAUCUGCAAAAGCCACCACCACUCCCCCUUUCUCUAACCCCACCACUGGCUCCCACCUUGGCAAUACCACCCACCUUUUCCACCCUUUCUCUGCCACCACCACACCAAACUCACCCUCAGUCCCGCACUCCCAUGGAGCUUCUAAAAUUUCUCUUUCCCUCUCCUCUGCCAUACAAACAGGUAAAACCACUACACUAGUUGCCUCUGCAACCUCACCAAUCCUCAAUCUCACAACUGGAACACGAAUUCCUUCUCCCAUUUCCUCUUCCUUCCCAUCUUCCCCUUCACCCUCCCCUUGCAGUUCGCUCAAGACCGCACUUUUUGCCUUUUCAGACUCUGCAACAUCCAAUGCCAUCUCCAAAGCAUUUGUCCUUAGCUCCGAUGGGCUCUUAUGCUCUCUGGAUUGCCUGUAAUACAUAAACGACAGACAAUCUCCAGGGAGAGUGUAAUCAAAGCUCUCCCAUGCCUUCUCCCCGCGCCUACGAGGGUAAUCCUUCACGGCGCGUGCUAGGUCUUGCGCGCCCUUGACAUCUAACUUGUGCUCGAUGAUGAAGCGGGCGGAUGCAGCCCGCUGUGUUGCGCUCAGGAGCCUAAUUUCAUAAAGUAACUCUGCGCCACCAGUGUCAAAUGCGGAAACAAUUUCAGGGUCAGUGUUAGAUUGAACAAGAGAUUCACGAACCUGAGCUGCAACCACUAGACGGUUCUGCUCUACCCCGGAAAUGCCCGUAGCUUCCUCAAUGGAUGGAGGGGUAAAGCCUUCUCGAAUGAGGCAGGGAAUUAAAGGUGCGUACUCAUACCAGAGGCCAAGGCGAUUGGCAAGGAUAUCGAGACGAGAGGCAGUGUCGAGGGAGCGAUACUGGGAAGGGAGAGGGGAAGGAGGAGGUCUAAAGGGCUGGUAUAAUUGCUGCUUAGGAGGUGGAGAGGCGGGGAUUAGAGAGGCUGAUAUGGGUUUUACAGGGGCUUUUGGGGAGGGCGAUUGGAAGAUAAAGAGAGGAAAGCAAGGGCCAAGGAAAGAAGAAGAGAAAGGUUUAUUGGAAUUGGAAAGAGCGAUGGUUGUGAGGGUGUUCACAGUUGCAGAGAACAUGGUUUGAAAACUGAAGACGAAAAGAGGUUCAAACUUCAAUGGAAGAAGACGCCUGUUCACCUUAUCUGAUAAAAAUGUAAUAUUUCUUUGAUAUUUCUUAGGUUUUUA
rnacentral:misc_RNA from 1 species